UACGUAUGGUGCAAGCGUUAUCCGGAUUUACUGGGCGUAAAGGGAGCGCAGGCGGCGCGCCAAGUCUGAUGUGAAACCCCGGGGCUCAACCCCGGGCAUGCAUUGGAAACUGGCGGGCUGGAGUGCCGGAGAGGUAAGCGGAAUUCCUAGUGUAGCGGUGAAACGCGUAGAUAUUAGGAGGAACACCAGUGGCGAAGGCGGCUUACUGGACGGCAACUGACGCUGAGGCUCGAAAGCGUGGGGAGCAAACAGG
rnacentral:rRNA from 1 species